ACGUGGCACGCAUUUUCGGAAAGGUUCGAGUUGAGGAAAGUCUUUGGCUUCCGGAGUCUUUCAGCUCAAUCUUGUGGCUCUCGUUUAUAUGUGGGGCUAUCUUCCCGGUGGUUUGCCGGAUAAAUCUGUUUUGCUCUCGGCGGAGCUGGUGUGGUUUCCGGGUUGUAACGACGGUGGAAGGAUGCGUGGGGCGGUGGUUGUGGAUUCGCCAUGGCCAUUUCAGGUGUUGAAGCUUUCCAUCUUUGAAAUGUCAUAACAGAUAAAGAUGACACCCGUAUACAGAUGAUAGAAGUGACGCGUGAAGACCAUGAAACAAGUAUUAGGGUUGUUGCAUUUCAUCUUAUUUAUAAGUCUUAGAUUAGAUCAAGUCAACGUGUUCUAUUCUAGUUUUUGGACAUAUUGUUUAUGUUUAUAUAUUUUUUGAUUGAUUUGAGAUUUUAUUUUUAA